rnacentral:pre_miRNA from 1 species
UAUAAUUUUUGACUCUUCAUCUUAUUUAAUUUUUUUGUGAUUGAUAUUUUUGUUUUUAUUAGAUGAUAAAUCAUGAACAGUACUUUAGGUAUAACUAAUUUUUUUCUAAUUUUCUGUAAAUUUUUCAAAUAAGCCGGAUAGUCAAACGUUGGAUAUGAAAACCGAGG